rnacentral:rRNA from 1 species
AUACGUAGGGGGCGAGCGUUGUCCGGAAUUAUUGGGCGUAAAGGGUUCGCGGGCGGCCAAAUAAGUCAGAUGUGAAAUCCCACGGCUUAACCGUGGUAAGCAUUUGAAACUGUAUGGCUUGAGUUAAGGAGAGGAAAGUGGAAUUCCUAGUGUAGCGGUGAAAUGCGGAGAUAUUAGGAAGAAUACCAGUGGCGAAGGCGACUUUCUGGACUUAUAAUGACGCUGAGGAACGAAAGCGUUGGGAGCAAACAGGAUUAGAUGCCCUGGUAGUCCACGCCGUAAACGAUGAGUGCUAGGUGUCGGGUGUCAAAGCUCGGUGCCGGAGCUAACGCAUUAAGCACUCCGCCUUGGGAGUUCGUACGCAAGUAGGAAACUCAAAGGAAUUGACGGGG